UGUGAGGUUAAGCGACUAAGCGUACACGGUGGAUGCCCUGGCAGUCAGAGGCGAUGAAGGGCGUGCUAAUCUGCGAUAAGCGCCGGUAAGGUGAUAUGAACCGUUAUAACCGGCGAUACCCGAAUGGGGAAACCCAGUGUGACUCGUCACACUAUCAUUAACUGAAUCCAUAGGUUAAUGAGGCGAACCGGGGGAACUGAAACAUCUAAGUACCCCGAGGAAAAGAAAUCAACCGAGAUUCCCCCAGUAGCGGCGAGCGAACGGGGAGGAGCCCAGAGCCUGAAUCAGCAUGUGUGUUAGUGGAAGCGUCUGGAAAGGCGCGCGAUACAGGGUGACAGCCCCGUACACAAAAGCGCAUGUGCUGUGAGCUCGAUGAGUAGGGCGGGACACGUGGUAUCCUGUCUGAAUAUGGGGGGACCAUCCUCCAAGGCUAAAUACUCCUGACUGACCGAUAGUGAACCAGUACCGUGAGGGAAAGGCGAAAAGAACCCCGGCGAGGGGAGUGAAAAAGAACCUGAAACCGUGUACGUACAAGCAGUGGGAGCCCCACCACCAAAGCAUUUGCUGUACCGCGUUGACGGAGCGAAGCGACGUCAAACCGAUAAAACAGCAGUGUAAAGUGAGCCGCAGGGCGCUUUGCGCGACAGCGCAAAGGCAGGCGGUUUCGCGUAGCGAAAGCGAAUGCUUUGGGGUGGGGUGACUGCGUACCUUUUGUAUAAUGGGUCAGCGACUUAUAUUCUGUAGCAAGGUUAACCGAAUAGGGGAGCCGGAGGGAAACCGAGUCUUAAUUGGGCGUUAAGUUGCAGGGUAUAGACCCGAAACCCGGUGAUCUAGCCAUGGGCAGGUUGAAGGUUGGGUAACACUAACUGGAGGACCGAACCGACUAAUGUUGAAAAAUUAGCGGAUGACCUGUGGCUGGGGGUGAAAGGCCAAUCAAACCGGGAGAUAGCUGGUUCUCCCCGAAAGCUAUUUAGGUAGCGCCUCGUGAAUUCAUCUCCGGGGGUAGAGCACUGUUUCGGCUAGGGGGCCAUCCCGGCUUACCAACCCGAUGCAAACUGCGAAUACCGGAGAAUGUUAUCACGGGAGACACACGGCGGGUGCUAACGUCCGUCGUGAAGAGGGAAACAACCCAGACCGCCAGCUAAGGUCCCAAAGUCAUGGUUAAGUGGGAAACGAUGUGGGAAGGCCCAGACAGCCAGGAUGUUGGCUUAGAAGCAGCCAUCAUUUAAAGAAAGCGUAAUAGCUCACUGGUCGAGUCGGCCUGCGCGGAAGAUGUAACGGGGCUAAACCAUGCACCGAAGCUGCGGCAGCGACACUGUGUGUUGUUGGGUAGGGGAGCGUUCUGUAAGCCUGUGAAGGUGUGUCGUGAGGC
rnacentral:rRNA from 1 species